AUGGUCCUACGGGGCGCAGCAGUGGGGAAUAUUGCGCAAUGGGGGCAACCCUGACGCAGCAACGCCGCGUGAUUGAAGACGGCCUUCAGGUUGUAAAGAUCUUUAAUCGGGGACGAAUUUUGACGGUACCCGAAGAAUAAGCUCCGGCUAACUACGUGCCAGCAGCCGCGGUAAUACGUAGGGAGCAAGCGUUAUCCGGAUUUACUGGGGGUAAAGGGCGUGUAGGCGGGCAUGCAAGCCAGA
rnacentral:rRNA from 1 species